AAAAGAGAUGACGAUUAACAAUUUACCCCUUCAAUGUACAAGGAAAUGUGAAAUUUUAAAUGCUUGACAUCCAUUUGACAAAAACAUCUAACAAAAAUCUCCCUUCCAUUAUGUUUUUGUAGGUGUCCAUCCCUGUUCCAAAGCUCCCAUUUUGACACAGGCGGGCGGGAUGCUGACAAAAGUUGUGGAGUUCGGCUUUGCACCUCCCGAUUGCAUUUACUUGAAAGUCUGUAAAUCCUUUAAAAGAAACCCAUUUUGUGCAUACCUUCAACCAUGGGAUUCCAUGAGACCAUAUUUCCUUGAGGCAUUCUGUCAAAUAGUUCACUACCUUGUCUAUGCUUCCACAUUUUGCUCACAUGUCUACUUAAGCAUUUCCAACUAUAAUAGCUGACAAAACACCCCUUCGAUUAUGCUCUAAUGUAUGCCCAUAUCCUAUUCCAAAGCGUCCAUUCUAGUACUGGCACACAGACUGCUAGCAAAGGUUACGGACAAACCUUUUCGACAAAUCCAUUUUGUGUAUACCGUGCAAUCACUAUAGUCCAGGAUUGGUCAACAAUUAAGCCCAGGGUUUUAUGUACAUUGGAGAUUGUAUGCCUAUUAAUUGUUGGAUGAUUAAUAUCCAAUAGAAAUAUGUUACUGUUGUUGCAUAGGCUUUGUACAGGCACCUGAAAUUGUGUAGUAUUGAUGGGACAUGCCAAUUUUUAUUUUCAUUUUCAUUUCUUUUUAAUUUGGCUUUUCCUAUUUAUUGGAAAUGGUUCUUGCAGGAUGGUAUAACCUGUUGCAUUCAGGUUUCAGCGAAAGUAGCUAUUGGGGUUCCUAUAAAUCCAGCUUCCUCUUUCAAUAAUCCUCAAUAUGAUAUCACCAUACUUGCUUGGAAGGCAUCGUACAUAAUUAGAGCUAUGUAUAGAAGCAUCAAUUAUACUGAUUGCUCAAGAAACAUAUGUAGAGGGGCAAAAAGCUAGAGAGCUCUUUGACAAGGAGGAAACUGGAGGGAUACAGAUGCAGACUUACAACGUCGAGAGCAGAUUUACACCAGCCAUAUACCCCCAGGCAAUGGCUGGUUCCUUUCUUGUUUUAUCUAUGCAUUUGCCUUAUUAUUUCAGUUUUUUCCUUUGCAUAAGAAAGUAAGGAUUACUCUCACGGUCUUGUGUGAGAGAUAAUUUAUUUUAGAUUACUUCUCGUAAUCAUUUCCUCCUUUCUGUAGAUUACUUCUCGUAAUCAUUUCAACUGUAUAAAAUAUGAUGCAUUUAAUGACAAUUGAAAGAUUACAAUUAUGUGACUGUAAUCUUUGCCUAGGUACUAAAAUUUUCCAUUGAAUUGUAAAUAUAAUGAAGAUUUUAGUAACAUUUUUG